CAGAGUUCAUGCCCCCCGGGGUAGAUCUCCCACCCUCGCGUACUAUACCUGUGUUGCUUUGGCUGGCCGCCCCGGCCCCCGGCUGGGGCGCGCCCGCCAGAGGAGCCAAAACUCUUGCAUCUGUGUCGUCCGAGUAACCAUAUAUCAAUAGUUA
rnacentral:misc_RNA from 1 species